UAAAACAAGUGACAGUGACGAGUCAGC
rnacentral:piRNA from 1 species